rnacentral:rRNA from 1 species
GACGAACGCUGGCGGCGUGCUUAACACAUGCAAGUCGAACGGAAAGGCCCUGCUUGCAGGGUACUCGAGUGGCGAACGGGUGAGUAACACGUGGGUGAUCUGCCCUGCACUUCGGGAUAUGCCUGGGAAACUGGGGCUAAUACCGGAGAGGAGCCCUUCUGCGUGUGAGGGUUGGAAAGUUUUUUCGGUGUAGGAUGAGCUCGCGGCCUACCAGCUUGUUGGUGGGGUAAUGGCCUACCAAGGCGGCGACGGGUAGGCGGCCGGGGAGGGUGGACGGCCACAAUGGGACUGAGGUACGGCCCCGACUCCUACGGGAGGCAGCCGUGGGGAAUAUUGCACAAUGGGCGCAAGGCUGAUGCAGCGACGGCGCGUGGGGGAUUACGGCCUUCCGGUUGUAAACUCCUUUCGCUAGGGACGAAGCUUUUUGUGACGGUACCUAGUUAAGAAGCACCGGCUAACUACGUG